rnacentral:tRNA from 1 species
AUUGUUUUAAUAAUUUAAAAUAAAAUAUUGGUCUUGUAAACCAAUAUAAGUAAUCUUUUAAA